rnacentral:piRNA from 1 species
UGACCUGCCACAGAGACUAUUUUUAAAGAC